rnacentral:lncRNA from 1 species
AGUUGCUUCAGCGUCCCGGUGUGGCUGUGCCGUUGGUCCUGUGCGGUCACUUAGCCAAGAUGCCUGAGGAAACCCAGACCCAAGACCAACCGAUGGAGGAGGAGGAGGUUGAGACGUUCGCCUUUCAGGCAGAAAUUGCCCAGUUGAUGUCAUUGAUCAUCAAUACUUUCUACUCGAACAAAGAGAUCUUUCUGAGAGAGCUCAUUUCAAAUUCAUCAGAUGUAAGUCACUUAUUAACCCAGAAUCGGAUUUUGGUUUCAGUGUGAACUUCUUGGGGGUGCUGUAUGCUUAAAUUAAUAUUUUUUGUUAACAGGCAUUGGACAAAAUCCGGUAUGAAAGCUUGACAGAUCCCAGUAAAUUAGACUCUGGGAAAGAGCUGCAUAUUAACCUUAUACCGAACAAACAAGAUCGAACUCUCACUAUUGUGGAUACUGGAAUUGGAAUGACCAAGGCUGACUUGAUCAAUAACCUUGGUACUAUCGCCAAGUCUGGGACCAAAGCGUUCAUGGAAGCUUUGCAGGCUGGUGCAGAUAUCUCUAUGAUUGGCCAGUU